rnacentral:lncRNA from 1 species
AUGGCCAGAAGCCGCUUAAGAGAUGACAGAUUAGAAGUCAUAGACAUGAGAUCCAGGCUUAGAUUGGCCUCAUCCCAGAGUCUGAGCUCCCCCUACUUUAUUGCACGCUCUCUAUUUGUCAAAGCCCAACAUCUCAAAUGUGAGUGUACUUCUGAGAGAGCAUUGGCGAUAAGGGUGAAGGGGAAGUCCUGUUGUCCUCUGAUGCCACGGUUUUCCCAUGACAUGGCCCAUGAUGGAGGGGAGUUGACUGGAAGCACAUCAAGUGUCCUGUGUCCUUAUCAACACUACACUACCCACCAAUCAGCACUGGGAUUUCUUCAACGUUUGUUACCGGGCUUCUUCAUGAACAAUGGUCUGAGGAGAUAUGUAAGCGAUGAUAUGAGUCAACGCAUCGGAAAAUAUUUUUCAAGUGGUAAUAUGCUGAUCGAAGAUGAAGUGUUAUUCCUGCGGGAGCGUGGAAGGAGGAAAAACGGUCAAGACAAGAGGAAGAUUGCUUUAGUUCAUGCAGCUCUCGUGGGAAAGGUGGGAAGAAAUCAGUGACGAUCUCCAAGAAACAAAGCUCAUUUCCAUUUCUAUGAAUAGGACCAUUUGCGUUACCUUGAACCAGAAACUUCGUCACCGCCAGCAGCCCUCUACAAGGUAACUUUUAUCUCUACAGAGUUGCAAAAUAGGUCAAAGACAGAGAACUUAUAGACUGUCAGAGAAUCAGACAACCCGGAAGUGCCUGCAAGACAACACAAAGAAUUUUUCAAAGGACAUCCAGGAACCUUGCUACUCAUUUUUUUUUUUUAAACAUGGAGCUAAAGUAUCCAGAGUGUAUUCAUUUACUGAUUCACCAUUUUAAUACCACUAAUCUUCACAGGUAGAAACAUUCAGUGAAAAAACAUUGGCUCUCAGGCUUCUUCAAGUAUUAAGCCUUCGUGUUUUCCUGUUUUUAAACUGUACCAGCAAUACAAAAUAUACAGAGUAUUUGUUUAAUACCUUGUUUCAAAGUAUUCAUUUAUUACUUCCAAUAUUUCACACUCAGUAGUUUGUUUUGGUAUGUCUUUGCAGAACUAAUAAUGUUCCAUAAAGCAUUUCUCUUGAGGACUUCUAAUGAGUGCUAUUAACUGAACACUCUUAAUAACAUCUGCAGAUUCAUUCAACUGAAAGAAAGGCAUGUUUUUAUAGUUUCUGGAUCAGUGUUGUCCUAAGUCAUAUAGUAUGUUGACAGUAAGUGCAGUAAUGACACCUUUUCCAUCCCCUAUGCUUCAUUGGUUCAAAACCUAAUAUGUAUUGAUAACUUCAAUACAAGGUGGUAAAAGAAGUGACUCUAAAAUUGUUUGAGGCAUUGUGUAAUCUUUAGCUAUUCAUUCAACUCUCUUGCACCAGUUCCUUAUAACUAAAGUCCUUUCCUGAUUUGGGUUAUGAAGACACAUUUAAAAAUCUAAUCCUUUUGUGUGAGAAAGAGGAAUGUUUUUUAGUAAAUUUUAGUGUCAUUAUUGCUUCAUUUAAUGAUUUUUCCAUGUAAAUAAGAUAUUAGGCUGAAGAAAAAAAGGAUUAAUAGGAUAUAAGACUCCAGAUAGAUAGAUAGAUAGAUCUCGCAGGCUUGUCCUGUGAAUCUGAGACUUUAUAACUUUAAUGAGAAAGUUACCUAUCAUAACAGAAAGAAAAUAAACCUAUUUGAAUGUAAAUUUCUUCA